AGCAGCCGCGGUAAUUCCAGCUCCAAUAGCAUAUAUUAAAGUUGUUGCAGUUAAAAAGCUCGUAGUUGAAUUUCGGAAUCGACGGAUUGGUCGCGCCUUUGGUGUGUACUGGUCUUGCCGGUUUCUCCCUUCUGACGAACCACGAUGUCAUUAAUUUGGUGUCGUGGGGAAUCAGGACUGUUACUUUGAAAAAAUUAGAGUGUUUAAAGCAGGCAUUAGCUUGAAUACAUUAGCAUGGAAUAAUGAAAUAGGAUGUUUGAUCUUAUUUUGUUGGUUUCUAGGAUCGACGUAAUGAUUAAUAGGGAUAGUUGGGGGCAUUAGUAUUCAAUUGUCAGAGGUGAAAUUCUUGGAUUUAUUGAAGACUAACUACUGCGAAAGCAUUUGCCAAGGAUGUUUUCAUUAAUCAAGAACGAAAGUUAGGGGAUCGAAAACGAUCAGAUACCGUCGUAGUCUUAACCAUAAACUAUGCCGACUAGGGAUCGGAUGAUGUUAAUUUUUUAAUGACUCAUUCGGCGCCUUAUG
rnacentral:rRNA from 1 species